rnacentral:misc_RNA from 1 species
GCAAACUUGGUCAUUUAGAGGAAGUAAAAGUCGUAACAAGGUUUCCGUAGGUGAACCUGCGGAAGGAUCAUUAUUGAAACAUUGUAAAGAAGAGUUGAGCUGGUCCUUAUAGGGCAUUGUGCUCGCUUUUCUUUCAAUCUUCAUCCACCUGUGCACCUUUUGUAGAAAUGUCCCUUAGAAAGCAAAGUCUUUUAGGCCUUGUAAGUAUUUGGGCCUUUCUAUGUAUUACAAACUCAUAAAUGUAUGUUUUUGAAUGUCUUUUAUAAGGGACUUAGUUGGCCCUUUUAAAAACUAUACAACUUUCAGCAACGGAUCUCUUGGCUCUCGCAUCGAUGAAGAACGCAGC